rnacentral:rRNA from 1 species
GGCCGCGGGAAUUCGAUUAGAGUUUGAUCCUGGCUCAGAUUGAACGCUGGCGGCAGGCUUAACACAUGCAAGUCGAACGGUAACAUAAAGAAGCUUGCUUCUUUGAUGACGAGUGGCGGACGGGUGA